GGAGUAGAGGUCGCAAAUGUAGGGUUAAACAUUCUAUUCAAAGAUGCAACUUCAUAGGGGAUGAACCACUUCAUCUUCAUCUCUUACUCUUAUGCUCUUGGAGCCCUUCUCCUCCUCCCUUUAUCCUUCUUCUUCUUUCCCAGUAGAGCAGUUCUUCCGCCUUUGAAAUUCCACCUGGGCGCUAGAAUUUUCCUUCUUGGGCUUAUUGGGUUUUCGGCUCAAAUAUGCGCUUGUAAGGGUAUAAAUCAUAGCUCCCCAACUCUUGCUUCUGCAAUCCAU